rnacentral:rRNA from 1 species
CCAGACUCCUACGGGAGGCAGCAGUGGGGAAUAUUGCACAAUGGGGGCAACCCUGAUGCAGCGACGCCGCGUGAGCGAUGAGGUAUUUCGGUAUGUAAAGCUCUAUCAGCAGGGAAGAAAAUGACGGUACCUGACUAAGAAGCCCCGGCUAACUACGUGCCAGCAGCCGCGGUAAUACGUAGGGGGCAAGCGUUAUCCGGAUUUACUGGGUGUAAAGGGAGCGUAGACGGCAUGGCAAGUCUGAAGUGAAAGCCCGGGGCUCAACCGCGGGACUGCUUUGGAAACUGUUAAGCUGGAGUGCAGGAGAGGUAAGUGGAAUUCCUAGUGUAGCGGUGAAAUGCGUAGAUAUUAGGAGGAACACCAGUGGCGAAGGCGGCUUACUGGACUGUAACUGACGUUGAGGCUCGAAAGCGUGGGGAGCAAACAGGAUUAGAUCCCCGGGUA